CUCCCUCGUUGCUGAUCUCAGGUUCGAUAAUGCCAAUAUCGCACCACCUCGCCUAAAACCAACUUCGAUGAAGCGGCGGGCGGUGUGUG
rnacentral:rRNA from 1 species